rnacentral:sRNA from 1 species
GCCAGGCAUGGUGGUGCAUGCCUGUAAUCCAACCUCCUUGGGAGGCUGAAACAGGAUCACAAGUUCUCGUCUGGCCUCAGCAAGUUGACAAGACCCUGUCUCAA